ACAGAAGGGAGCUUGCUCCCGGAUGUUAGCGGCGGACGGGUGAGUAACACGUGGGUAACCUGCCUGUAAGACUGGGAUAACUCCGGGAAACCGGAGCUAAUACCGGAUAGUUCCUUGAACCGCAUGGUUCAAGGAUGAAAGACGGUUUCGGCUGUCACUUACAGAUGGACCCGCGGCGCAUUAGCUAGUUGGUGGGGUAAUGGCUCACCAAGGCGACGAUGCGUAGCCGACCUGAGAGGGUGAUCGGCCACACUGGGACUGAGACACGGCCCAGACUCCUACGGGAGGCAGCAGUAGGGAAUCUUCCGCAAUGGACGAAAGUCUGACGGAGCAACGCCGCGUGAGUGAUGAAGGUUUUCGGAUCGUAAAGCUCUGUUGUUAGGGAAGAACAAGUGCGAGAGUAACUGCUCGCACCUUGACGGUACCUAACCAGAAAGCCACGGCUAACUACGUGCCAGCAGCCGCGGUAAUACGUAGGUGGCAAGCGUUGUCCGGAAUUAUUGGGCGUAAAGGGCUCGCAGGCGGUUUCUUAAGUCUGAUGUGAAAGCCCCCGGCUCAACCGGGGAGGGUCAUUGGAAACUGGGAAACUUGAGUGCAGAAGAGGAGAGUGGAAUUCCACGUGUAGCGGUGAAAUGCGUAGAGAUGUGGAGGACACCAGUGGCGAAUGCGACUCUCUGGUCUGUAACUGACGCUGAGGAGCGAAAGCGUGGGGAGCGAACAGGAUUAGAUACCCUGGUAGUCCACGCCGUAAAC
rnacentral:rRNA from 1 species